UAAAAAUAUACAUUGUUUAAAACUGCACUAUUUAACAUUUUUUCCCCAUGUUUAGUGUUCGGCUAAUGAAUGAGUUCACUAAUAUGCCAGUACCUCCAAAACCCCGACAAGGUUAGUAAAAAUGAGUUUUGUUGAUGCUAUUACAUAUUGGGAGUUAUGGAGACAGGUGACUUAAAUUUGGUAAAUUCAGUCUUGUUGGGAAGAUAAUGUCUUUACACCUAUGCCAUUCUCAACAUUCAGCCAGGUGGGAGGUGGGGGAGUUUUGAUGAUGUUGCUUUUUUCAUCAUUUAUGAGUUCAUUGUAGUUAGGAAAACCUGUGUCCUCUUUCCAUUGCAGCUCUUGGAGAUAAAAUCGUGAGGGAUAUUCGCCCUGGAGCUGCCUUUGAGCCCACAUAUAUUUACAGACUCCUGACAGUUAACAAGUCAAGCCUGUCUGAAAAGGGUCGACAAGAAGAUGCUGAGGAAU
rnacentral:sRNA from 1 species